UGAACGCUGGCGGCGUGCUUCACACAUGCACGUCGACCGGAAAGGCCCAAGCUUGCUUGGGUACUCGAGUGGCGAACGGGUGAGUAACACGUGGGUGAUCUGCCCUGCACUUCGGGAUAAGCCUGGGAAACUGGGUCUAAUACCGGAUAGGACCACAUUUUGGAUGGUGUGGUGGAAAGUUUUUCGGUGUGGGAUGAGCUCGCGGCCUAUCAGCUUGUUGGUGGGGUAAUGGCCUACCAAGGCGUCGACGGGUAGCCGGCCUGAGAGGGUGUACGGCCACAUUGGGACUGAGAUACGGCCCAGACUCCUACGGGAGGCAGCAGUGGGGAAUAUUGCACAAUGGGCGCAAGCCUGAUGCAGCGACGCCGCGUGGGGGAUGACGGCCUUCGGGUUGUAAACUCCUUUCGCUAGGGACGAAGCGUUAUGUGACGGUACCUGGAGAAGAAGCACCGGCUAACUACGUG
rnacentral:rRNA from 1 species